UGUCCUACGGGAGGCAGCAGUGAGGAAUAUUGGUCAAUGGGCGGGAGCCUGAACCAGCCAAGCCGCGUGAGGGAAGAAGGUACAGCGUAUCGUAAACCUCUUUUGUCAGGGAACAAAGGCGGGGACUAGUCCCCGGAUGAGGGUACCUGAAGAAAAAGCAUCGGCUAACUCCGUGCCAGCAGCCGCGGUAGUACGUAGGUGGCAAGCGUCGUCCGGAUUUAUUGGGCGUAAAGCGAGUGCAGGCGGGUCCAUAAGUCUGAUGUGAAA
rnacentral:rRNA from 1 species